UACGGAAGGGGCAAGCGUUGUUCGGAAUCAUUGGGCGUAAAGGGCGCGUAGGUGGUUCUGUAUGUCUAUCGUGAAAGCGUACGGCUCAACCGUAUUUUGUCGGUAGAAACUGCAGGACUUGAAGCUGGGAGGGGCUGGUGGAAUUCCCUGUGUAGCGGUGAAAUGCGUAGAGAUGGGGGAGAACACUCGUGGCGAAGGCGGCCAGCUAGACCAGUUCUGACACUGAGGCGCGACAGCGUGGGGAGCAAACAGG
rnacentral:rRNA from 1 species